rnacentral:rRNA from 1 species
AACGAACGCUGGCGGCAGGCUUAACACAUGCAAGUCGAGCGCGUAGCAAUACGAGCGGCAGACGGGUGAGUAACGCGUGGGAAUCUACCGAGCCCUAAGGAAUAGCUCCGGGAAACUGGAAUUAAUACCUUAUACGCCCUUUGGGGGAAAGAUUUAUCGGGGUUUGAUGAGCCCGCGUUGGAUUAGCUGGUUGGUGGGGUAAAGGCCUACCAAGGCGACGAUCCAUAGCUGGUCUGAGAGGAUGAUCAGCCACAUUGGGACUGAGACACGGCCCAAACUCCUACGGGAGGCAGCAGUGGGGAAUAUUGGACAAUGGGCGCGAGCCUGAUCCAGCCAUGCCGCGUGAGUGAUGAAGGCCCUAGGGUUGUAAAGCUCUUUCACCGGUGAAGAUAAUGACGGUAACCGGAGAAGAAGCCCCGGCUAACUUCGUGCCAGCCGCCGCGGUAAGAC